CCAGGCAUCCGAGAAAAGAAAUGAUGGUGACGACGACUCCCGUGGCAAUGAGAAUGGAAGCCGAACUGACGUACAAGUCGGUGCCCAGCAACCGUUCCAUGAAUGACCGAUCCGCCAGGGUCCAGAUGCCCACGGCGAAGACCGCCACUCCGCCAACCUACGAUGACAAUCAGAAGUGAAAGCUUCGCACGAUUGCAUGCGGUAGUUACAUCUUAUCAUUCUUCUAUCGAUGAGAAGAUGCGACUCGAACACUGCCGCCAGAACAGCUACACAUUGUUAUCGAAUGUAAUCAUGAAAAGAACAGACAACACCUGAUACAAACGACCCAAAAGGACAGCACAAGGCACAAAGGUCUUGAAGACACUUUAUUUCCAAACGGCGCAACCAGUCAAAGAAGAAUAGUAAAGCGUACU